UACGGGAGGCAGCAGUGGGGAAUAUUGCACAAUGGGCGCAAGCCUGAUGCAGCCAUGCCGCGUGUAUGAAGAAGGCCUUCGGGUUGUAAAGUACUUUCAGUCGCGAGGAAGGUGUUAAGGUUAAUAACCUUAGCAAUUGACGUUAGCGACAGAAGAAGCACCGGCUAACUCCGUGCCAGCAGCCGCGGUAAUACGGAGGGUGCGAGCGUUAAUCGGAAUUACUGGGCGUAAAGGGCACGCAGGCGGUUAAUUAAGUUGGAUGUGAAAUCCCCGGGCUUAACCUGGGAAUGGCAUUCAAGACUGGUUAGCUAGAGUCUUGUAGAGGGGGUAGAAUUCCAUGUGUAGCGGUGAAAUGCGUAGAGAUGUGGAGGAAUACCGGUGGCGAAGGCGGCCCCUGGGACAAAGGACUGACGCUCAUGUGCGAAAGCGUGGGGAGCAAACGAGGGAUUAGAUACC
rnacentral:rRNA from 1 species